rnacentral:misc_RNA from 1 species
GAAAAUUUCUUGUUAAAUGUCUCAUUUCUUUUGUUUUGUUACAAGUUACAAUCAUACAUCACUGAACAGUACACUGAGGUUCUUGUUAAUCUGCUACUUCAACAUGCUUGUUAAUCUGUGUCUUCCCAGAACAAGAAGAUAAUAAAUUGCAGAAAACAAUUGACAACGAAUUGUAAUGAAGUUGUACACACCUAUAAUGUGAUUUACAAAUGUGUGUAUCGCGAGUGACUUGUAAUAUUGCACCAUAAAGAAUAUCUUGAAUGAGCUCACCAUAACGAUCGUUCUGAGAGUUCAUAACUGAGAGGGGCUAAUAAAUUAGUAACUGCCAGAACCUGUGAAGCUUGUGAACACCGGAUUGAGGAUCAAGAAUGCAGCAAAACUAUAGAACUGCAGAUGAAACAUAUUUUACAAGAUUUUCAGGCUCCAAAUUCCAGUCUUGUAGAGAAAAGUUGAACUGUUCAAACUGUUGAGUAGAUUUAGCAGCCAAGACUCCUCAAAAUACUGUUGAGCUUGUCAAUUACGACUGGUGGAUCCGCAUAAGAUCCCUCCAAAUCAAUGGGAUGGUACUCCAAUCCUUUCCAAUAAGCAAUCAGAGAAAAAUGGGGGCGCCUAUAUUCACUGCUUAUGAUUUCUAGUAUAACAGCUUUUGGUGAUGCAGAAACAAUGUGCGUUAGACCUGCUCCAUGAGCACCUACAAUGACAGAAGCAUCUUGG